UACUUUAUGUCACACGGUUAUAUCACUAAUCAGUUUAGACAGUUAGCCAAAUUUUUUUCUCCAGUGACGUUCUCUGAAUCACAUACAAAAUAUCAUAGAUUAUAUUAUUAUCUAUGCAAAAUAUUAUAUUCUUGAUUGUAAAUAAAAUGUUAUAAUAUAAUUUUAUAAAUUUUUUUUUGUCAUCACAUGUUAUAUAGCUAAUAGUUGCUGCCAAUGCCAAUCCAAUAGAAGAACCAGAGAUGCUCCAUAUUCCAAAUAGUUAUACUACUGUGUUUGGGGUACAAAGGAUGACUACAGAAAUAAUCAGAGAUGACGCCGGCUUCUUAUACUAUAAAAUAAAACAACUGAAACUAAAAUUUUUCCUGAUGGUACAAAGCAAUACACCUUUUUGCAGAGUACUGAGAUGAUGAGACGUUUAAGUUGUCUGUGUUUUCCAGCAACACCCAGAAACCUUACAGAGUUGCUUUAUUUGUUGGUGGCUGAUGAAAACAAAGAGUAUAUUCAGACUCUCCAAAACCUACCAAAUAGGUUUUAUCAAGGUCCUCUAAUAAUACACAGAAUUAUACAGAGUGUAAUUUUUGUAACUUAACAAACAUUCAACAAAUUGAGAACGAACUGAGAAAUGUAUGAACAUUUAAUUAAUAGAAAAUUAAUGUAA